GGGUCAGUAGGUUGGUCGUGCCACCGGUACGUACUGGUCUCACUGAUUCCUCCUUCCUGAAUAACCGUAAUGCCAUUAAUUUGGUGUUGCGGGGAAACAGGACUGUUACUUUGAAAAAAUUAGAGUUUUUAAAGCAAGCUAACGCUUUAAUACAUUAGCAUGGAAUAAUGAAAUAGGGCGAUCGAUCCUAUUUUGUUGGUUUCUAGGAUUGACGUA
rnacentral:rRNA from 1 species